rnacentral:rRNA from 1 species
CAGUAGCCACGGGAAUACGUAGGUGGCAAGCGUUGUCCGGAAUUAUUGGGCGUAAAGGGCUCGCAGGCGGUUCCUUAAGUCUGAUGUGAAAGCCCCCGGCUCAACCGGGGAGGGUCAUUGGAAACUGGGAAACUUGAGUGCAGAAGAGGAGAGUGGAAUUCCACGUGUAGCGGUGAAAUGCGUAGAGAUGUGGAGGAACACCAGUGGCGAAGGCGACUCUCUGGUCUGUAACUGACGCUGAGGAGCGAAAGCGUGGGGAGCGAACAGGAUUAGAUACCCCCGUAGUCCCUGUCUCUUAUAC